UGGGCAAGCGCGGUAGGGUGCUAACACCUUCCUUACGCGUAACCGAUUCCCGAACUUAAAAAUCUCUUUUUCGUAAACCAUGUUUUUUUAGGGUUUUUCCAUAGUUUUCCAAAAUAAAUUAUGGUGGCGACUCCCAAAAUAUUUUCCAAAACCCGUUUGUUUUUCGGUUCGUUGUCCCAUCGCGAUCCCGAUUGCGACAGCUGGCGACUCCACUAGGGACUCUAGAGAAUCAGGCCUUGAUAAUUAAAUGUCCAAAAUUGAUGUGGUUUUUCUUAUUUUAUUUUAUUUUGCUUUAUUUUAUUUUAUUCCUUUUUUAUUUUAUUUUAUUUUCCCUUUUGUUUAUAUGUGAUUGUCUUUAUUUAUUUUGGUAUUUUAUUCUUUUUAUUAGUAUUAUUAUUGUACAUAUCAUGAGUGGGGCCCUAUACCCAGGUCUGAGUGCAACAUAGAAUUACAGGGGUUGUGUAGCGGUGUCACGUCUGGACUGUCUCCAGUUUGGCUAUCGUGAAAACCCCAGCCAGUGGUUGUUCUCUUUACAUGCAAUUUCACACCUAGUUGCGUCCAACUGUUGUGGAAAAGCUGUGAAAAGGACCAUAGCUCUGGUGACCUUGAUCUUAGGUUUAGGAAGCCUUCCCUGUGAGAUUGCAUAUACAUUGCUUAGACCUUAGGACAUUGGACCUAUCUUAAAAGCAUAAAACAUGUUGGCUUUUAAUCAUUAUUUGGCAUAUAUGUUUUCAUGCAUCAUAUGCAUUAGCAACAUUUUUAUCAUUUUCCCUUCAUUUUC
rnacentral:lncRNA from 1 species